rnacentral:lncRNA from 1 species
CGGUCGCGGAGCCGCGACCGGCGGAGACGGCGGGGAGACGAGGCGAGGGACGACGACGACCGACACCAGCAGCAGCGAGCACCGAUUCCGCGACACGAGAUGCGCGCAUAUGCUAAUCAAGUGGGCGACGAGCGAGACCCUUUCUUUAUAGCGAACGGGCAGAGAGGAGGAUUGGGACAUUGGGUUUCUUUUCCUUUCCUCUCCGCAUUGAUCUCGCCACGUCGCUUUGACGACGAUGCGUCGGAUGCUUAACAUGGAAGGCAGGGUGCCGACGAAUCUAGCUGCGUUUAGCAGGUGAAAUGGAAAUUUUUAUGUGUCAUAUCAGACAUUCGAUCUGACGUCGAAAGAAAUUUUUUGAUAAGAAUGAAAAAAUGAAUUUUACGGUUGGCAUGGAAACCACAAGACGAAUCUUUUGAG